UACGUAGGGGGCAAGCGUUUGUCCGGAUUUAUUGGGCGUAAAGAGCGUGUAGGCGGCCAGGGAGGUCCGUUGUGAAAACUCGAGGCUCAACCUCGAGACGCCGAUGGAAACCAUCAGACUAGAGUCCGGAAGAGGAGAGUGGAAUUCCUGGUGUAGCGGUGAAAUGCGCAGAUAUCAGGAAGAACACCCGUGGCUAAGGCGGCUCUCUAGUACGGUACUGACGCUGAGACGCGAAAGCCGUGGGAGCG
rnacentral:rRNA from 1 species